rnacentral:rRNA from 1 species
AACGAACGCUGGCGGCAGGCCUAACACAUGCAAGUCGAGCGAAGCCUUCGGGCUUAGCGGCGGACGGGUGAGUAACGCGUGGGAACGUGCCCUUUGGUACGGAAUAGCCCCGGGAAACUGGGAGUAAUACCGUAUGUGGUCGAGAGACGAAAGAUUUAUCGCCAAAGGAUCGGCCCGCGUUGGAUUAGGUAGUUGGUGGGGUAAUGGCCUACCAAGCCGACGAUCCAUAGCUGGUUUGAGAGGAUGAUCAGCCACACUGGGACUGAGACACGGCCCAGACUCCUACGGGAGGCAGCAGUGGGGAAUCUUAGACAAUGGGGGAAACCCUGAUCUAGCCAUGCCGCGUGAUCGAUGAAGGCCUUAGGGUGUAAAGAUCUUUCAGUGGGGAAGAUAAUGACUGUA